UAUCCACUCAUCUGUCAAUGGACAUUUAGAUUGCUUCCAUGUCUUGGCUAUUGUAAAUAGUGCUUCUAUGAACAUUGGGGUGCAUGUAUCUUUUCGAAGUAUGGUUUUCUCCAAAUAUAUGCUCAGGAGUGGGACUGCUGGAUCACAUGGCAACUCUAUUUUUAGUUGUUUAAGGAGCCUCCAUACUGUUCCCCAUAGUGGCUGCACCAAUUUACAUUCCCACCAACAGUGUAGGAGGGUUCCCAUUUCUUCACACCCUCUCCAGCAUUUAUUAUUUGUAGACUUUUCGAUGAUGGCCAUUCUGACCAGUGUGAGGUGAUACCUCACUGUAAUUUUGAUUUGCAUUUUUCUAAUCCAUUGCUAAUUAGCAAUGUUGAGCUUUUUUUUAUGUGUCUGUUAGCCAUCUGUAUGUCUUCUUUGGAGAAAUGUCUGUUUAUGUCUUCUGCCCAUUUUCUGAUUGGGUUUUGUUUUUCUGGUUAUUGAGCUGUAUGAGCUGUUUGUAUAUUUUGGAAAUUAAGCCCUUGUGGGUCGCAUCGUUUGCAAAUAUUUUCUCCCCGUCUAUAGGUUGUCUUGUCACUUUAUGGUUUCCUUUGCUGUGCAAAAGCUGAUAAGUUUGAUUAGGUCCCAUUUGUUUAUUUUGCUUUUAUUUCUAUUGCCUUGGCAGACUGACCUAAGAAAACAUUGCUAUGAUUUAUAUCAGAGAGUGUUUUGCCUAUGUUCUCUUCUAGGAGUUUUAUGGUGUAAUGUCUUAUAUUUAAGUCUUUAAGCCCUUUUGAGUUUAUUUUUGUGUAUGGUGUGAGGGAGUGUUCUAACUUCAUUGAUUUACAUGCAGCUUUCCAACUUUCCCAACACCAUUUGCUGAAGAGACUGUCUUUUCUCCACUGUAUAUUCUUGCCUCCUUUGUCAAAGGCUAAUUGACUGUGGGUGUGUGGGUUUAUUUCUGGUCUCUCUGUUCUGUUCCACUGAUCCAUGUUUGUUUUUGUGCCAAUACCAUGCUGUUCUGAUUACUGUAGCUUUGUAGUAUUGUCUGAAGUCUGAGAGGGUCAUGCCUCCAGCUUUGUUCUUUUUCCUCAGGAUGGCUUUGGCAAUCUGGGUCUUUCAUGGUUCCAUAUAAAUUUUAGGAUAAUUUGUUCUAGUUCUGUGAAAAAUAUCAUGGGUAAUUUGAUAGGGAUCACAUUAAAUCUGUAGAUUGCUUUGGGUAGUGUAGCCACUUUAACAAUACAGAUUCUUCCAAUCCAAGAGCAUGGGAUAACUUUCCAUUUCUUUGAAUCAUCUUCAGUUUCCUUUAUCAAGGUUUUACAGUUCUCAGAUAUAAAUCUUUCACCUCCUUGGUCAGGUUUAUUCCUAUGUAUUUUUUAAAUGUGAUUUUAAAAGGGACUUUUUUCUUACUUUCCUUUUCUGAUAUUUCACUGUUAGCGUAAAGAAAUGCAACCAAUUUCUGUAUGUUAAUCUUGUAUCCUGCUACCUUGCUGAAUUCGUUUUAUCAGUUCUAGUAGUUUUUAUGUGGCAUCUUUAGGAUUUUCUAAAUAUAGUAUCAUGUUAUCUGCAUGUAAUGACAAUUUUACCUCUUCCCUUCCAAUUUGGAUACCUUUUAUAUCAUUUUCUUUUCUGAUUGCUGUGGCAAGGAUUUCCAGUACUAUGUUGAACAGAAGUGGGCAUCCUUCUCUUGUUCCAGAUUUUAGCAGGAAGGCUUUCAGCUUUUCACCACUGAGUAUUAUGUUCACUGUUAAUUGUGUUGAGAUAUGUUCCCUCUAUACCCACUUUGGUAAGAGUUUUUAUCAUGAAUGGAUGUUGAAUUUUAUCAAGUGCUUUUUCUGUGUCUAUUGAAAUGAUCAUGUGGUUUUUGUCUUUUCUUUUGUUGAUGUGGUGUGUCACAUCAAUUGACUUGUGUAUUUUUUAAAAUCAAAUCGUAUCGGGAGAAGUAAUUUAUUUUAUGGAAAAGUUUUAAGGCUUAUCCCAUUGAAACAAAGGAAAAGUUGAACCAAAGAAAACUUUACAAUAGAUUAUAUUGCAUGAGCUCCAACAGGUAAUGGGAAAUAUAUGUACAUAUUAGAUUACAUAUACUUUGAAUAAACAAAGAAGUAUUACUAUGAUGUUAAUAUUUUCAUGUGACCAACACUGAAGGAUAAAUUAUGCUUGUAACUGGACUAUAAAUUAAUAGUUCACCUGGUUUCUCUAUGCCAAUAGAAAAGACUUCUGACUUUUGAUUAGAUAGCUAUAAGCUGCAUACUUUUUCCAAGUAAACUAAGCAGUUUUGUUUUGUUUUGAUUUGCAUAUGUUGAGCCAUCCUUGUGACCCUGGGAUCAUGGUGUAUGAUCAUUUUAAUGUUUUGUAGGAUUUGGUUUUCUAAUAUUUUUGUUGAGAAUUUUUGCAUCUAUAUUCAUCAGAGAUAUUGGCCUGUAGUUUUCUUUUUUGUUAGUGUCCUUGGUUUUGGUAUCAGGGUGAUGAUGGCUUCAUAGAAUGACUUUGGGAGUGUUCCCUCCUCUUCAGUCUUUUGGAAGAGUUUGAGAAGGAUUGGUAUAAGUUCUUCUUUGUAUGUUUGGUAGAAUUUUCCAGUGAAGCCAUCUGGUCCUGGACUUUUCUUUGCAGGGAGUUUUUUAAAUUGCAGAUUAGUGAUUGGUCUGUGCAAAUUAUCUACUCCUUCUUGAUUCAGUUUUGGUGGGCUGUAUGUUUCUAGAAACUUGUCUAUUUCUUCUAGGUUGUACAAUUUGUUGACAUAUAAUUGUUCAUAGUAUUCUCUUAUGGUUUUUAAUAUUUCUGUGGUAUCAGUUGUUAUUUCUCUUCUUUCAUUUAUUUUAUUUGGAUCUUCUUUCUUUUCAUCUUGGUGAGCCUGCCCAGAGGUUUAUCAAUUUUAUUUUUUCAAAAAACAUGCUCUUGGGACUUCCCUGGUGAUGCAGUGGUUAAGAAUCUGCCUGCCAAUGCAGGGGACAUGGGUUCGAUCCCUGGUCCGGGAAGAUCCCACAUGCCGCGGAGCAACUAAGCCCAUGUGCCACAACUACUGAGCCUGCACUCUGCAGCCCCCACACCACAACUACUGAAGCCUGUGCACCCUAGAGCCCACAUGCUGCAACUACUGAGCCCAUGCUCCACAACAAGAGGUACCACUGCAAUGAGAAACCUGUGCACCGCAACGAAGAGUAGCCCCUGCUCACCACAACUAGAGAAAGUCUGUGUGCAGCAAUGAAGACCCAACUCAGCCAAAAAAAAAAGCAACAUGCUCUUGAUUUGAUUUUUUUCUAUUGUUUUUUACUCUCUAUUUUAUUUAUUUACUCUUUGAUCUUUAUUAUUUCCUUCAUUCUGCUGACUUUAGGUUUUGUUUGUUCCUUUUCUAAUUCUUUUAGGUGGUAGGUUAGGUUGUUUGAGAUUUUUCUGUUUUUUGAUUAAGGCCUGUAUUGCUAUGAACUUCCCUCUUAGGACUGCUUUUGCUGCAUCCCAUAGAUUUUGUUUAGUUGUGUUUUCAUUGUCAGUUGUCUCAAGGUAUUUUUUAAAUUUCUUCUUUGAUUUCAUUGUUGACCCAUUGGGUUUUUUUGGAGCGUGUUGUUUAGUCUCUGUGUAAUCAUUUUUUUUCCUCGUUUCUCUUUCUGUGUUUUUUUUUUUUUUUUUUUGGUCUGCGUUGGGUCUUCACUGCUGCACAGGCUUUCUCUAGUUGCGGCAAAUGGGGGCUACUCUUUCUUGUGGUGUGCAGGCUUCUCAUUGUGGUGGCUUCUGUUCUUGCGGAGCAUGGGCUCUAGGCGUGCAGGCUUCAGUAGUUGCAGCACACAGGCUCAGUAGUUGUGAAUCGCGGGCUUAGCUGCUCCGUGGCAUGUGGGAUCUUCCCAGACCAGGGAUCGAACCUGGGUCCCCUGCAUUGGCAGGUGGAUUCUUAACCACUGCGCCACCAGGGAAGUCCCUGUGGUUGAUUUUUAGUUUCAUGCUGUUGUGGUCAGAAAAGAUGAUUGAAAUCAUUUCUACCCUCUUAAAUUUGUUGAGGUUUGUUUUGUGUAUUAGUAUGUGGUCUAUCCUAGAGAAUGUUCCAUGUGUGCUUGAAAAGAAUGUGUAUUGUUUUUUUUUGGAUGUAAUGUCCUGAAAAUAUCAGUUAAGUCUAACUGUUCUAUUGUGUCAUUUAGGAUCUCUUUUGCCUUAUUGAUUUUCUGUCUGGAAGAUCUGUCCCUUGAUGUCAGUGGGGUGUUAACGUCUCCUACUAUUAUUGUAUUCCCAUCAAUUUCUCCCUUUAUGUCUGUUAGUAUUUGUUUUAUGUAUUUAGGUGCUCCUAUAUUGGGAGCAUAUAUGUUAAGAAGUAUAAUAUCCUCUUCUUUUAUUGAUCCUUUUAUCAUUAUAUAGUGUCCUUUUUUUAAUCUUUCUUUAUAGUCUUGUUUUAAAGUCUAUUUUUUUCUGAUAUGGAUCUUGCUACACCCUCGUUCUCCUGUUAUUCCCAUUUGCAAGAAAUCUUUUUCCAUCCCCUCACUUUCAAUCUGUGUGUCCUUCGUCCUAAAGUGGAUCUCUUAUAGGCAACAUAUUGUAGGCUCUUGUUUUAUUAUCCAAUCUGCCACUCUAUGUCUUUUAAUCAGAGCAUUUAGUCCAUUAACAUUUAAGGUAAUUAAUAGAUAUGUAUUUUUUUUUGCCAUUUUAAACCUUGUUUCCCAGUUGAUUUUGUAUUUCUUCUUUGUUCCUUUCUUUUUGUUUUUCCUUUUGUGGUUUGAUGGUUAUUUUCGUAUUAUGCUUGCGUUCUCUUCUUUUUGUGAAUCUAUUGUAUGUUUUUGUUUGUGGUUACCCUGGUUUUCAAGUAUGUUAAACCAUUACUAUAUCUAUUUGCUUUAGAUUGGUAGUCAUAUAAGCUCAAACACAUUCUAAGAAAAAAAUCUAUAUUUUUCUUACUCCCAUCCCCCACAUUUUAUGAUUCUGAUAUCCUCUUUUACAUCUUCAUGCUUAUCCUUUUGCUGUUCAUUGUAGUUAUAAUCACUUCCACAAAAAAUUUUUGAUUUUUUUAAAAUCUAUAUACUGGCUUAUUUUAGUGUUUUACUUUCCUAUUGUGAUUUUCUCUUUCCUUUAUAGAUUCUUGCUUCUUUUCUAUUUAGAGAAGAUUCUCAAUCUUUCUUUCAGGAUAGAUUUAGUCUUGCUGUACUUUUAAAUUUUUGCAUGUCUGAGAAAUUCUUUCUCUCUCCUUGUAUGAUCAGGCCACCCAAGACGGUUUUUCUCCUGCUCUGUACAUCCCCUUCUCAACCAGUGCCUGCUUCACCUAUACCCUACUCACAUGACUGACCUUCCUACACAUACUUGCCCCCACCUCAGCUAGUUCUUCCUACAUAUUUGCCCCUAGCUAAUGACUGUUCUAACCUUUAGAUCAGAAUAUCUCCACCAUGAUUGAUAGCUUAUCAAAGGGGCAGUGAGGGGGUGUUCCCCUCUGCUAGUUUCCCUGGUAACCAAUAAGCCAACCUGACCUCAAUUCUCCCUAUAACGGGUAACCUUGCCCUCACCCCAGGAACAAAGAUUGCCACCAUGUCCUGCCCAUCUGCCACACACAGUGGGGUGUUGCUCCAGGACCCUGCUUCAGUCAUGUAAGAUUCCCCCAUCCGUUAAACCAUUAAUGUCUCUGUCACUGACUCGGGGCUCUUUCUUUGGUCUCAAGGAUGGACAAGUACAGAGCUUGUAGGCCUGCAGGGUGCAGCCCAACAAUUGACAAAGCCAGCAAGUAGACCCAGGAAACUCCUGUGAGCACAGAGAUAUCAGGAAAUAAGGACAGGGAAUGGAAAGUUGCAGGGACUGUCCACUAACACAUGGGGUACAAAAGUUGUGGGAGAAAUCCCAGUGUGGCCGUCCACUACACAUGGGGCCCAUAAGUUGCAGGGGAAAUCCUGGGGUGGCUAUCCACUAGUAUGUGGGGCCCUGUGGUGGCUGUCCUUGAUGAAUGAGGGCUGACAAGAGAGUAUGGAGAACAAUGGCCUAAUGGCUCUGCUACUGUAUUAAAAUGAGCCUUUUGUAAUUGGUUUGGCUUUAAUCUUGGGUGUGUGCAUGAGUGCCCCAGUAUAUGAGUCCAAAUCCUGUUGUCUCUCCUUGGUUUUGACCCUUGUUAGGGAGUCCUGGUAACUUGAGUGCUGAUGCAUGUUCCUCUGAAAGUGAUGGAUAUGAAUGUGAGUGAAUGAUAUGUACUACUGUCUAUCACUAUUAUUUGUUUAAACUGAAUUAGCUAUUCAGAAAUUGAAAAAAUUCCAUGAAAAUGUCCAAGAUGGGACUCUUGACAUUCUAAAACUGGUUUCUGCAUAUGCCAUUAGAGGAAAUUAGCUUUCUAGAAGGAAAUGGUAUUUCUCUUCCUGUGCCUUUGAGAUGUAAAUAAUCUACCUGUGAGUGAAGGGGGAAAAAGAGACCCUCUUAAACUCUAGGAAAACUGUGAGGUCUCUGUGUCUAUAUAGAUAUAUGUAUGUCUAUGUGUACCUUAUAAAUAUGAUGUGUCUCUGUCUCCAAAUGGCACGGUGAAGAUUGGUUUGUGGAUGAGCUCUGUUUAAUUGGCUUAAAAGAAAUUAAGCACUUACAUAAAUUCUCAGAAAGAUAAACUGUCCAGAAUGAAUUUCAGGUUCACAUGAUCUGGGAAAUAUUCAGUACUGAACUGAUAUCUGCUAUUGAAACUACUUAAGCUUGUUGGUUUGAUUAAUAUAGAUAUGUCUUUAGAGUCAUCAGUGUUAAGUAUAAUACUUCUGUUGUACCUAAGUUUACAAGAGGUAAAAUAAGACCUUAAUAUAUCUGUUGCAAAUCUGUCAGCAAGGAAAAUAACUUGGGGACUUCCCUGGUGGCGCAGUGGUUAAGAAUUCGCCUGCCAAUGCAGGGGACACAGGAUCGAGCCCUGGUCCGGGAAGAUCCCACGUGCUGUGGAGCAACUAAGCCAGUGUGCCACAACUCCUAAGCCUGCCCUCUGGAGCCCACAUGCCACAACUGCUGAAGCCCGUGCGCCUAGAGCCCAUCUCCACAACAAGAGAAGCCACCACAAUGAGAAGCCCAUGCACCACAACGAAGAGUAGCCCUCGCUCACCACAACUAGAGAAAGCCUGCACACAGCAGCGAAGACCCAACGCAGCCAAAAAUUAACUAAUUAAAAAAAGAAAAGAACUUGAUAUAAUGAAACUUUAAGGAAAUGUAAAUGAGAUAAGAGAUUUGGGACAAACUCUCUAGGAAUUACUAUGUUUUGGGAAUGUCUAUCUAAAAUAGUCUCUCCAGAUUUUGGCAACUUGAAACUAAAUGAAGAGAAUUCACUGACUAUCUGGGUCAUUUCAAAUAGGAUAAAAUAUUGGAACAUUAAUUGCCAGGUGGGUCUAAGUUUACCUACCUUUGCCUUCUUAGGAGAGGAAGACUAAAGCGUAAGUUUUCCAAUCAGGAAAUGCUGGUAUAAAAAAAGUUCACAAUUACUUACUCCUUGGUUUUUGCCAGAGAUUGAGGUUUUUAAGGGUUAAGAUUAUAAUGUCAUAAUUUUAGUUAUUAUAACCAAGUUUCUUUAUUGAUUACAUUGUAAUCAGAUGUUUAACUAUACCUUUUUAAGUCUUCUGUCAUUUAUAGACAAUUAUUGUUGUACUCUGAUGCUCUUGCAAAAAGUGCUCCAUCUUCAAGAAGAUUCAUAGGAAGGACUUUUUGACAAGCACAAGUCUCAGAAGUUUCAGCUCACAGUGCUGAACUGGGUAAGAAAUCAAACAAUGCUAAUGGAAAACCUGAUGAUCUCAUAAAAAGUUAAAAGGAUUGGUUACUGAGUGAACUGGUAUAUAUGGUUAUAAUUUUUAUGGUUUUUGUCUGGAGUAUUACUGGUUUUGAUCUAUGUUUUCCAGAUAUAGGGAAGCCCUUCCCUUCAAGUUAGUUAUGACUUCCAGCAAUUUGUUAAACUAUACCUUUGGGUAGAAUUGAAACAUUUUUCUUUUCUCUCUACCUGGUCCCUCCAGAAAUUGAAGACUCUUGGGUUCCAAGCAGGUGAAUGGGAAAGACUGUCUCCUGGCAUGUGCAGGAAUCUCAAUAUUUGGGGGACUUCUACAAGAGGGGACUCCACCAAGGCAGAGUUGAUGGCAGGCCUUGGUAUGGCUUUCCUGGCCUUGAGAGGCCUUUUGGGAACUCAGUCUGAGACUUCUGAGGAAUUCCACAACAGCCAGUUUGGAGGAGCCUAGGUGGCCACUGUAGGUGUGAUUUUGGACAUAUUCCUGUAUUACUGAAAACUUGUUUUCUGAACUAUAUUACAGACCUGCACAAAAACGACAGGCAGCUGUGGUUGAUAUUAUCUCAGAAUACGGAUACGGCUUGUAUUUUGCUUAAUGGUCAUGAUCUUCCCUGUGUUGUGCCUGUCAGGUGUCUUACAUUUUGUUCCUAGCCUGAGUGGAGGAAAUCUAUUUGAGGACUGAGCAGCAACAAUAACCUCACUGAGAAAAGAGUCUAAUUGCUGGGUUAAUGGCAACAGCCAAGAUGCCGUUUUUGUCUUCCUCUGGAUUUCCAUGAAAAAUCGACCUGGCUAAUGUGACCAUGUGGAGACGACUGACAGUGGCGGGGUGGGGGAGGGGCAGGGGAAGACCCUUACCAUCGUCCUGUCCCACAUGCCAGUACGUCAGAAGGACCCUGUCGGUAAACAUUACCAUGUAACACAUCAUACACUUUGACUGCCCAUGAGCCCCCCCCACCCAGGCUAUGCUGUGUGGAGUGGAAUAGGCUGGCUUCUGGACACACAUGUCCAACUAGUGUGAUUAACUGUUUUUUUGUUUGGAAAGACCUAAUGCGUCCACCCCUAACAAAACAUGGGGUAACUGCUGACUCCACCAGAAUGUAUUUUUUAGAGCCGAGGCCUUCUCCUCCCCAUGGGGGUUGCUCGGGAUUUGUGAAAAACAGGGUUGGCCUUACCUUCUUUAUAACCAGACAGGGCACUGCUGCUAUUGACUCCCUCUCCAUUACCCCAGUAAGUGCUUGGCUCCAAAAUUUGCCCACAUUCUGGCAAAUGACUGUUCUUAGCCUACUAGGUAUCUUACUCUUGAUGCUCUUUGGCUGCUGCCAUCUGUAUUUGUGGCAUCUGGCUGCAGUGCCCCCCUACACACCUGACCCCAGGGAUAUCACAGAAGAAGGGCAGACCAAGAUUGUGAGGGUCGUGCAGCGUACGUAGGGGUGGAGUGUAUGAUCAGGCCACCAAGAUGGCUGCUCUCUGCACAUCCCCUGCUCAACCAGUGCCUGCUUCACCUACACCCUACUCACAUGACUGACCUUCCUACAUACUUGCCCCCAACCCAGCUAGUGAUUGUUCUAAUCUUCAGAUCAGAAUAUCUCCACCAUGAUAACUUAUUAAUGGGGUGGUGAAGAGCAUGCCCCUCUGCUAGUUUCCCUGGUAACUGAUAAGCCAUCCUGACCUCAAUUCCCCCUAUAACUGGUAACCUCGCCCUCGCCCCAGGAACAAAGACUGCUGCCAUGUCCUACCCACUGUCUGCCACACAUGGUGGGGUGUCGUCCCAGGAUCUUGCUUCAGACAUAAAAGAUCCACCACCCUUUAAACCACUGAGGUCUCUAUCACUGACUCCAGGAUCUUUCUUUGGUCUCAAGGAUGGGCAAGUACAAGGCUUGUAGGCCUGCAGGGUGCAGCCCAACACUCCUUCUAUUGUAAAUGAUACUCUCCCUGGGUAGAGUAUCCUAGGUUGCAGAUAUUUCCCUUUCAGGACUUGGAAGGCAUCUUGCCACUCCCUCUGGCCUGCAACGUUUCUGUAGAGAAACCAGCUGAUAGCCUUAUGGAGGUUCCCUCUGUUUUUCUCUCGCUGCCUUCAGGAUGCCUGCUUUAACUUUUCCCAUUUUAAUUAUUAGAUGUCUUGGUGUAGGUCAGUUUGGGUUCAUCUUGUUUGGGACCUUCUGUGCUUCCUGUACCUGGAUAUCUGUUUCCUUCUUUAGGUUUGGGAAGUUUUCCACCAAAAUCUCUUCAAGUUCAUUUUUGAUCCCCUUUUUCUCCUUCUGGGAUCCCUAUUAUGUGUAGAUCGGCUCACUUUACAUUAUCCCAUAGGUUUCAUAUAUUGCUUUCAUUUUUUUUCAUUAGUCUGUCUGCUGUUCUGACUGGGUGAUUUCAGUUAUUUUAUCUUCCAGAUCACUUAUUCAUUCUUCUGCAUCAUUUAGUUUGCCCAUGGCCAGGACCGUCUGUGUAGGUCUGUUUUCUGCCUACCACAAUGCAGCUACUGCACUGCCCUCCGAGCCUCUGAAGCUCCCUUUCUGUCCCAGCUGAUCUCCCAGCCACUGAAGGGGCUUCCCAGAGUGAGGGAACUUCUCCUCUUUCACAGCUCCCUCCCAGGGGAGGUGCUGUCCUAAUUACUUUUUUUUUUUUUUUUUACUUUGGGACAGGUGCUGUCCUAAUUACUUCUUUUUUUUUCUUUUGUCCUACCCGGUGAUCUUUCUUACAGCUUUGGUUGUAUGAGAUCUUAUGCCAGAGUUCAGCAGGUAUUCUGUGAGAACUGUUCCACAUGUAGAUGUAUUUUUGAUGUAUUUGUGGGAGGAGGUGAGUUCCACGUCCUUCUAUCCCGCCAUCUUGACCUCCACCUGUCCUUACUGUAUAAGGUUCUUGAGGAUCAAACCUAGCGCGGUGCUCCCGUGGCCAAGGGCCAGCUCAGUUUCCAGCACAAGACGUGGUAGGAAGCAGGAGAGCCACCUGCUGGUGAAACUUCAUCCAUCAAAAUCAGCAACCAGGUUAUCUUCUUAUGUUCCAAGGACACCCCCAGAGUUUGCCCCACUUUCCUUUCAUCCCUAUAUCACUUGCCUCCAAAGAUGCUCUCCUAACUCAAUCGAAAACAGCUCUCUCAGUUCCCUCUCUUAAGCAGCACUGUCCAAUAGAACUUUCUGACAUGAUGGAAGUAUUAUUCAACUGCACUGUCCACUGUAGUUACCACAACCCAUGUGUGGCAUCGAGUACUUGAAAUGUGAUGAGAGCAACUAAAAACCUGAGUUUUUAUUUAGUUUUAAUUGUAUUUAAAUAGCUAAAUGUGGCUAGUGGCUACUGUACUUGGAUAGCACAGCAGUAAAGCAGUGGUUCUCAACCUUGUCUGUCCCCUAAAUUCACCCCAGCAGGGACCUUUUAAGAAUCCAGAUGAGCAGACCACACCCCAAAUCAAUUAAAUUAGAAUCUCGGUAUUUUUUAAGUUCUUUCUGGGUAUUUCAAACAUGUGUCCAAAGUUGAGAACCGUUGCUCUAAAACCAGUGUUUGGCAAACUAUACUGCGUAAGAACUUCCUGGGGGUCUUGUUAAAAUGCAGAUUCUGAUUCAGAGGCCUGAGGUGAGAACUGAGAUUCCACAGGUCAAACAAGCACAGGCUGCUGCCCCUGGGCCACACCGAGUACCAAGGCUCUACCCCAGCCCUUCGAAUCCUUUCACUCACGCAAACAUUAGGUACUUUCUGAGCCCAGUGGCAUGACAGUUCUGGCUUUUAGAGUUUCCAUUCUGAUCGGAGAAAUAAUAAGCUUGUAAUCUCAAACAGUGGUAAAUGCUUUGAAGUAAAUAAAACAGUGUAGUGGGAUAAGGAUGUGUGCGGCCAACUGCAGAUUUAAGGAGGUGAAUGUUUAGUUUUUGGCUUUCAGGAGCCUACAGGUGAAGAUCUAGAAAAACAUGCUCUCUGGGGAAGAGCGACAGUGAGUGUGAGGCUCCUGAGGCAAGAAAAGGCCUGGCAGAGUAACGCACAGGUGAACGGGGAGAGUGACAGAGGUGGGAAUCAGAGAAGGGCAGUGGUGGUCACGGUGAGGAGUUUGGACUGUGUUCUAACUGAACUAAAAGCCGCAGCAGGGCCUUAAGCAAGAGCAUGAGGAAUGCUGAUUUACUCUGAAGAGAUCUGCUCACUGCUGAUCUGACUUUCUGAUAGUUUUUCACAGCAUCAUUUAACUGCUAAGACUUGGUCUCCUCUUUCCCCUUUGCUGAUUUUUUUCCCCCUCACACUGUAAAAAGACAUGCAAAGAUAGGUCUCUAGGUAUAAGAAAAACCAAGGAAUCAUUUUUACUUCUGAGGAAAGCCAAACUCAGAACUACACAUUUCAGAGAAGCUAGGGUGGAGACUCUGCCACUGGAAGAAGCAGGCAAGGAACUCAGGGUUGCCCCCCUUCUCCGGAAGCUCCUGGUGGAUGACCUCCGUGGAUGGUGUCAGUAAACUGUAGCCCACCUUCCUUCUGCCAGAUUCUUGCCUUAGGCAGCAAGAGGAUUGAAGGUGUAAGAAAUAAAGAGCAGCAGGAGGAAAGAAGGGACCCAGUGGCCACCUUUUGUGUGAAAAAAAACCUGCCGAAGUGAGAGACUGCCUCUGUUUGGAGUCACAGAAAAGCCAAGCCAGAGAUCAGGACUCUGAGCUAUUGCAAAGGAGUAAGCCAACAUGGGUCUUGGUUUUCUUCUUUCUCUCAUUAAUACAAUUCCAAAACCAUUUCUAUCAGUAGCAGUUAAAUGACACUGUAGCACAGGAAGCUGUCAACCAAAUAAAUCUUAAAAUGCAUAUAAAAGGACAUGAGUUGAAUAAAUUUACACGUGGCCUCAUGAGGAUACAGGGUUAGUUGGCAGUUAUUACCUUCAAGAAAAUCCUAGGAAAGAUAUGCACCCAAAUGUUAACAGUAGUUACCUCUAGGAGAUAAUAUUAGAUGGCAGAAGGAAAAAGAAAGGUACCUUCUGCUUAACUUUCAAAAGUUAAUCAAAAUAUUAGUAGAGGUACUUCCUGGGUGGUCCAGUGGGUAAGACUCCAUGCUCCCAAUGCAGGGGGCGCGGGUUCGAUCCCUCGUCAGGGAUCUAGAUCCCGCAUGCCACAACUAAGAGCCUACAUGCCACAACUAAGACUUUGCACGCCACAACUAAAGAUCCUGCACACCACAACAAAGAUCCUGUGUGCCGCAACUAAAGACCUGGUGGAGCCAAAUAAAUAAAUAUUAAAAAAAAAAAUACUAGUAGAGAAAAAGGAGACUCCAGGAGCAUUUAACUAGAUGAUACAGCUUCUUCUACAUCAAAGGAAGGCCUGGCCUCUUGGUUAAAUCAUGUUUCCUUAAGUGCAUUUUGUACAUAUUAUUACUCUAAGAUGCUUCAUUAACAAACAAGAAUCUUUGUUCAGGUAAAUUUGUGAAGUACGAUAGCUGAUGACAUCCUGGAACACACUUUGGACCACGCUGGGCGCGGUAGGCUGCAUAAUGCCCCCCACCAGCUAUGUCACAUCUUAAGUUUCGGGACCUGUGAAUAUUUUAUGGCAAAAGGACACUUUGCAGAUAUGAUUAUGUUAAGGAUCUUGAGAUAAGAGAUUAUUAUGGACCAUCUGGUGGGCCCUCAAUGCUAUCGUAAGUGUCCAUAUAAGAGGGAAGCAGAGGGGGAUCUGACCACACAGAGAAACAAGGCAAUGGAAGCAGAGACUUGAUGCUAAGCUGCUGCUGCUAAACAAAGAGGAGGAGCCAUGAGCCACAGAAUGCAGCUCUAGAGACUGGAAAAGGAGGGGAAAGAUUCUCUCCUAGAGCCUACAGAGGGAGCAUGCGCUGCCAACACCCUGGUUUUGGCCCAGUGAAACCAUUUUGGACUUCUGACCUCCAGAACUACAAGGUAAUAAAUGUGUUGUUUUAAAGUCCCCACAUUCGUGGUAAUUCGUUACAGCAGUCAUACGGAAUGAAUACAAUGAGUUAAGGUCUAGGAAUCGGGGAAGGAGAGCAGGAAGCGUAAGAGUUAAAGUCCCACAUAGCUGGAUUGGAACUCUACUCUUCAACUUACUGACUUGGCUGUGGUCCAGCCUUCUCCAAUUCUCAGCUUCUUCACCUGAAAAUUGGGGCUAACGACUUCCUCAUGUUUAGUGUGAGUAUUCAAUGAGAAGGGAAGUAGCAGAUGGAUCGCAGGGAGUAUUCAAAUGUUGGUUCCCUUUCCCUGGCUGUUUUCUCUUCAGAGGAACUGCCAGAAACUUGUCUUCUCCCAGGCGGCUCCUACUGUGGAAGUCACACAAGGACCCAGGGUGACCCCCGAAGACCCAGGGUGAGAUCAUUGUUGGCCUUGCUCGGUAUCAUGUAUGUGCGCGCUGUGCGAAUAUCCAUCGAGAGAGGCUGAUUCAAUUGUUCUCAUCCUCUAACUACAGUUUCUGCCCAUCAUAAUAGAUAAUCAGAUGCAGGCCCAGUAACAAGAAUCAUCCCUUACCUCUUAGCUACCGUGAUGAUUAAUUUUACAUGUCAACCUGACUGGGCGAUGGGAUGCCUGGGUAUGUCUAUGAGGGUGUUUCCAGAAGAGAUCAGCAUUUGAACUGGUGAACUGAGUAACGCAGACGGCCCUCCCCAUGUGGUGGGAAUCAUCCAAUCCAUUCAGGGCCCAAAUAGAACAAAAAGGCAGAAGAAGGGCAAACUCACUCUCUCUGCUUGAGCUGAGACAUCCAUCUUCUUCCCUCAGACAGCAGCACUCCUGGUUUUACACCACCAGCUUUCCUGGAUCUCCAGCUUAUGGAGAGCAGACUGUGGGCCUUCGCAGCCGCCAUAAUCACGGAAGAUAAGAGGGCAGGAUGAGGAUCACUGCAACAGUCUGAGAAGCCACCAUGAUCUGACAGCCCUUUAAGGACAGGCCCAGUUUAUCUGGGCUGGGAAGAACAUGGAGCCCAGAAGUCUGAAUGGGCCACUGAAAGUUCAUUACAGCAACAGAAGCCUGCCCAUGUGUACUCACUGCAAAGAAGGUCAAAUCCUCUGCCUUAAACGUUUAACUUUAGCCCUAUCCUGUGUCCUCCUAUAACCCUGAGAUGUGUAUAGCUUCAAAACAUGACACUGAAAGGACUGACGGUGUGAUUUAUUUAGUUUCAGUAUACUGCAGUGGAUUACAAAUAAUCUGUACGUUUAAAAGGAAACUCUUCUGUCGUAAGAGAGCAAGCUGUAACUCAAGGACUGGAGCCGGUUUCCCCCAUCCCCGCAGCGCUGGCUCUGGCCAGUCAGCAUUCACACCAAACAGACCCGUCUAUUAAUUAGCCAAGCCCUCUCUCCCGACUGCCAGCCUUCUGAAUGGAAUGACAAGGGGCCAUGUCUUUAAAAACGUCAAGGAGCAGAAAUCUCUGCUGAUUCCCCCAGGAACCUCUAUAAAGGCAUGGGUUCUUUAAAGCAAGCUAGAGAAUGAACCUGUCAGUGGGUCGGCUCUGUGGAAGAACAAUCCUGGUCCCUCCCCCUGUUUUCCAGUAGUGUGCUAGUGGCUCUCAAAGAUUUCCCAGAAAUUUGCUUUAAGGAAAAUCACAGCUUUCUUGAUUAGCAUCUAAAAGGCACUUACGCAUAUUUUCACUUAGGAAAUUGAUUGAGCGAUGAAGAGUAACACUGAACCAUUCUCUUAUCCUGAAUGGCCAACAUUCUGGAUCUAAACUGGUAGGUGGCUGCACCGCCGCGGUCAAGAGAGCCGCUUCUCAUUAUUCCCAGGCCCGGCCGUGUUCACUGGCUUCUCUGCACGUUUUCAAAAAGCAGACUCCACGUCACCCAUCUCCACACACACAGUCUUUAGUUGUGAAUAAUAUUCAAUUGUCACACGGCCAUUCUCUCUGCCAAACCCUGAAAGGAAGAGAAGGGGUGAGGGUGAGCCAUUGCGGUAAUCCAGCCAGUGACCUGCAGAAACAGGCACUGCUCCCAGGGCUGGAGAAGAGUGCAGAGCCAAGAAGUUCUGGGAUCAAGUCCUCAACUGCAUGUAUUAACUGUGGAGCUAGACGUGGGAAAAGUAACACACUAGCCUUCGGGGAUGGGGAAAUAUUUAGGUUUCAUUUCUUACCAGUACGACUCUUAACUUCUAGUAUCUACUCUUCUAGGCUAAGGUCUAAAAAAUGUUCAGACUUUCUUAUCAAGCAUUAGAGCAUUCUCUACAAUUAUCAAUCAACCUGAUGCCUUUGAAAGUCAGUGCUAACUUAAAACUUAACUCUACAUAAUAGGCUUAUUAACCUUCUCUUACACUAAAUCUGUAAGAGCACCUACUAUUUAUACUCUGUCCACUCACGUGGGGAGUGGACCCUUUAGGCUCUCAGGUUACUCAAAGCCAAGACACUGCCCAAUCAAUAGUAGAUGAGGUUACAGGACAGCCUUGUGUCCCCUACCCCAGACCGAGGCAGGCUCUGCAUCCUAAGAGCAAGGCCCAGUCUCCAAAAAUGCACAUCUCCAGGGGGCAUCAUUCCAAAUGGGACAUACACAAUGGCCCUGCUAAGGCCUCACUCUGCCUUUUGUUCCUUUCCAAAUCCUCUCAGCAUGGAGCCCACUGGGCAUGUUAGGCCAGCUUUCUGUCCCUCUCAUCUCAUAUAGGCAUAUCCAUGGGCACUGAUCCAAAGAUUCAGGUUUAGGGAAGGGAAAGCUGGCCUCAGAGGCCCCACUGAGGCCAAAGCUGCAGAUUGCAAACAAACUGAGGGUUAUGAAUUAAUAAAACAGAGCCUUGGUUCCUACCCUGCAUUUAGGUCUGUGUUACAGCUCCUCCAGGUACCCCAUAGGGACAAGAAGGACUAGUGAAGUAUGACUAGAGAAUGCCAGAAUGAUACCAAACGCAAUACCAAAUAAAACUGUCAAAUUAACACCCACCAUCUCAUCAUCAUUCAUCCGUGUUUAUAUGUUUGCCAACACGGUGAUGGCCAUAAAUAUCUGCCAGGAGAGUAGGGGUCGGACUCUUAGAAUGGUGCACCCACGAAGUCCAAACCAAUUUUCAUACAGAAUUGGUGAAAUUAGCAACAAACUCCAAAGAAAGAACCUCAAAGUAAUGGCUAUGUGCCUGAUGCCUCAAAUCUCCUAACAGACUAGAUUUACAAACUUGCCACGGUUAGAACGCCUACGGGUGGUUUCACACUUAAUGGCUAUCACAGACUGUGAGGAAAAAGUAAUCCUACCCAUGAGAUAAACCUUUUUCAGAUAUAUGUCAGCUGUUCACAAUCCAGUCUACACAUCAAAGCCUUCUGGAGAGCUUCUGGAAAAAAAUAAAGACACUCAGCUUCCAUUCCCAGAGACGGAUACAGUGGGCCUGGGGAGGACCAGGAAUUCAUAUACUUUUCCAGGUGAUUCUGAUACACAGACGGGUUUAGGAACCUGUUCCAUAAGGACCGAAUUAUGACCAGUGUUUCUAGAGACGGGGGUUUGCUUUCACAGUUCCCAGAUCCUCACCUGACUUCUUAUAUCCACCAAAGGGCAACUCCACUGGGCUGACAUUAUAGUUGUUAAUGAAGCACAUUCCAGCCUGAAGCUCAGCCACCACUCUGUGGGCACGCUGGAUGUCCCUAUGAAGAAAAAAAUGCAUUGGUUAUUCACAGUUUCUUUUGCUACAACCUUACCAGGAAAAGUUAGACGGUCACUUCUAAGGGUCUCAAAACAUUGCCAAAUUCUUGUUUCUUCAAACUGUGUUUUAAAAUCUUAUACCAUCCAUGCAAAAUAGAUAAGGAUUUGAAUUUUACAGUCUCAUCCAAACGCAUGUAUAAAAUAAGCAGCAGCAACAAGGGUGCCAAAACAAUUCAAUGGGGGAAAAUAGUCUUUUCAACAAAUAGUGCUAGAACAACUGGAUAUACAUAUGCAGAAGAAUGAAGGAAGAUCCCUUUCUUACACUACACACAAAAAUUAACUCAAAUGGGUCACUGACCUAAAAUGUCAGAGUGAAAACCACAGAACUCUUUGAAGCAAACAGGAAUAAAUCUUCAUGACCUUCGGUUAGAUACAAUCUUCUUAGACAUGACACCAAAAGUAACAGAUACAGAAAAAAUAGAAUAAUUACACUGACAAAAUUUUAAAAUUCUGUGCUGCAAACGAGACUAUCAGGAAAGUAAAAAGACAACUCACAGAAAUGCAAAUCAAAACUGAUACAAGACACCACUGCACGACCUCUAGGAUGGCUAAAAUCAAGAGAACCGACAAUAACAAUUGCUGACUAGGAUGUGGAGAAACUGCAACCCUUAUACAUUGCUGAUGGGAAUGUAAAAUGGUAAAAUGGUACUUUGGAAAACAGUUUAGCAGUUCCUCAAAUAGUUAAACACAGAGUCACCAUAGGAUCCAGCAAUUCCACUCCUGGGUAUAUACCAGAAAUGAAAUAUACAAAUAUCCACACAAAGACUCAUAUAUGAAUGCUCAUAGGAGCAUUAUUCAUAAUAGCCAAAAAGUAGAAACAGCCCAAAUGUCUACCAAUGGGUCAAUGAAUAAACAAAAUGUGAUAUAUCCAUACAACAGAAUAUUACUCAGUAGUAGAAAGGAAUAAAGUAGUGAUACAUACUAUAACAGUAAAUGAACUUUGAGAAGAAGCCAGUGGGUGAACUAAGUGAAAGAAGCCAGUCGUGAAGGGUCACAUACUGUAUGAUUUCAUCUACGUAAAAUAUUCAAAAUAUGCAAAUCUAUAAAGACAAAGUAGAUCAGUGGUUGCCAGGGACUGGGGGGGGGGGGAAUGCAGAGUAACUGUUAUUGUUCUUAGAAUGAAGAAAAUGUUCUAAAAUUAGAUUAUGACAGUUGUACAAUCUGUAAAUAUACUAAAAACGAUUGAAUUGUACAAUUUAAAUAGGUGGAUUGUUUGGUACAUGAAUUAUCCCAACAAAGCUGUUUUAAAAUAAAAAAGGGAGUUACCCUCCUUUGUAACUGGCCUUUGUCUGUAUUUUGGUGGCGAAGCAAAGCAAGAGGAGAGACUUAUCCCACUCAAUCCUCAAAUCAAAAAAAGCAGCUCCUGGGACUUCCCUGGUGGUGCAGUGGUUAAGACUCCACACUCCCAAUGCAGGGGCCCUGGGUUCGAUCCCUGGUCAGGAAACUAGAUCCCACACGCAUGCUGCAACUAAGAGUUCACAUGUCACAACUAAAGAGCCCGCCUGCCGCAACUAAGGAGCCCACGUGCACAAUUAAGACCCGGCGCAACCAAAUAAAUAAAUAUUUUAAAAUAUACAUAUAUAUACAAAAAAAAAAAAAAGCAGCUCCUGGGAAUUCCCUGGCGGUCCAGUGGUUAAGACUCUGUGCUUUCACUGCCAAGGGCCUGGGUUCAAUCCCUGGUCGGGGAAAUAAGAUCCCGUAAGCUGUGAGGCACAGCCCAAAAAAACAAAGCAAAACAAAACAAAACAAACAAACAAAAAAGCAGCUCCUCAGAGAGGACUUUUAGGGUAGUGAAACUACUCUGUAUGAUAUUACAACAGUGAGUACAAGUUAUUAUACAUUUGUCCAAACCCAUAGAAUGCACACCAAGAGUGAACCCUAAUGUGGACUGUAGUCUUUGGGUGAUAAAGAUGUGUUCACGUAGCUUCAUCAGUUCUAACAACUGUUCCACUCUGGUGGGGGAUGUGGAUCACGGGGGAGACUAUGCAUGUGUGGGGCAGGAGGAGCUGGGAAAUCUCUGUACUUCCACACAGUUUUGCAGUGAACCUAAAAGUGCUCUUAAAAAUAAAGUCUAUUAAAAAAAAAAAAAA